UCCGGAGGCGGUGGCUGGUCUGAGGACGACGCGGAGGACGUCACUGCGGGUCGGUGCUUCCUUACAGGUGCCUUCUGGACCGGGGUCCUUGGCACCUCCCCUGCUCCUGCCCUCGGUGCCGGACCCUGUGCCCUGGGAGCCCGACUACCUCGGUGUCCCAGCCGUCCCGGGCUUGAGGCGCUGAGAGGGCUGCGCGGCUUCCAGCCCGGAAGGCAGCGGUCCCGCGGGCUGCGCGCGGCCAAGGGCGACUCCGGUGUGGGAAUCCGGCGGAAGGGAAGCACCCGCAGGGAGGGCUGGACCCCGGAGGCUGCAGAGCGUCAGAAGCGACUCUAGGGAACUAGGGGGUGGGGUAGGGAGGCGGGGACGUGGAAUAAAGAAAGCUCCUGGGUGCCGGCUAUGAGAAGUCAGGUGUGCGUAGGCGUGGACAGAGUGCCGAUGUGGGAGUCUGGACACCUGGAUUUUCUGGUCGGGGCUCUGUGUCCUUGGGCUAAACAUUCGCGGUUCCACUGGCUCCCUAACACUUGAAAUGAUGUUUGAAGUUGCCUGGAAGAAGUCUCUUCCUUUUUUCUCUCAGAGGUGA
rnacentral:lncRNA from 10 species